rnacentral:rRNA from 1 species
CCUACGGGGGGCUGCAGUGGGGAAUAUUGGACAAUGGGCGAAAGCCUGAUCCAGCCAUGCCGCGUGUGUGAAGAAGGCCUUCGGGUUGUACAGCACUUUCAGUGGGGAAGAAAGCCUUGGGGCUAAUACCCUCGAGGAAGGACAUCACCCACAGAAGAAGCACCGGCUAACUCCGUGCCAGCAGCCGCGGUAAUACGGAGGGUGCGAGCGUUAAUCGGAAUUACUGGGCGUAAAGCGCGCGUAGGCGGUCUGAUAAGCCGGUUGUGAAAGCCCCGGGCUCAACCUGGGAACGGCAUCCGGAACUGUCAGGCUAGAGGGCAGGAGAGGAAGGUAGAAUUCCCGGUGUAGCGGUGAAAUGCGUAGAGAUCGGGAGGAAUACCAGUGGCGAAGGCGGCCUUCUGGACUGACACUGACGCUGAGGUGCGAAAGCGUGGGUAGCAAACAGGAUUAGAUACCCUAGUAGUC